GACGAACGCUGGCGGCGUGCCUAACACAUGCAAGUCGAGCGGGGUUGAAGCGAGAGGUAACUCGAACUUCUACCUAGCGGCGGACGGGUGAGUAACGCGUGGGCAACCUGCCUCAAGGUUUGGGAUAACAGCCCGAAAGGGCUGCUAAUACCGGAUAUGCCUAUGGCCUCGCAUGGGGCUAUGAGCAAAGGGGAAACCCGCCUUGAGAUGGGCCCGCGUCCCAUCAGCUAGUUGGUGAGGUAACAGCUCACCAAGGCGACGACGGGUAGCCGGCCUGAGAGGGUGACCGGCCACACUGGGACUGAGACACGGCCCAGACUCCUACGGGGGGCAGCAGUGGGGGAUCUUGCACAAUGGGCGAAAGCCUGAUGCAGCGACGCCGCGUGAGCGAAGAAGGCCUCGGUUGUAAGCUCUGUCUGGAGGGACGGAACAAAAUAGACGGUACCGUCCGGAGGAAGCCACGGCGUAACUACGUGCCAGCAGCCGCGGUAAUCA
rnacentral:rRNA from 1 species